rnacentral:rRNA from 1 species
UACGGAGGGUGCAAGCGUUAAUCGGAAUUACUGGGCGUAAAGAGUGCGUAGGCGGUUAUUUAAGUCAGAUGUGAAAGCCCCGGGCUUAACCUGGGAAUGGCAUUUGAUACUGGAUAACUGGAGUUUAGGAGAGGUAAGUGGAAUUUCAGGUGUAGCGGUGAAAUGCGUAGAUAUCUGAAGGAACACCAGUGGCGAAGGCGACUUACUGGCCUAAAACUGACGCUGAGGCACGAAAGCAUGGGUAGCAAACAGG